rnacentral:rRNA from 1 species
AUUGAACGCUGGCGGCAUGCUUUACACAUGCAAGUCGAACGGUAACAGGCUGCAAGGUGCUGACGAGUGGCGGACGGGCGAGUAAUGCACCGGAACGUGCCCAGCCGUGGGGGUUAACUACUCGACAGAGUAGCUAAUACCGCAUCCGAUCUAUGGUCGAAAGCGGGGGACGGUAAGGCAUCGCGCGAUUGGAGCGGCCGAUGUCCGAUUAGGUAGUUGGUGGGGUAAUGGCUCACCAAGCCCACGAUCUGUAGCUGGUCUGAGAGGACAACCAGCCACACUGGGACUGGGACAGGGCCCAGGGUCCUACGGGAGGCAGCAGUGGGGAAUGUUGGACAAUGGGCGCGAGCCUGAUCCAGCAAUGCCGCGUGCAGGAAGGAGGCCUUCGGGUUGUAAACUGCUUUUGUGCGGAACGAAACGGCUCUGGUUAAUACCCGGGGCUAAUGACGGUACCGUAAGAAUAAGCACCGGCUAACUACGUG